AGCCGCACUUGCAGAAUCGGGAAACUCAUCAAAUUUAUAAGAAAUACCGAGACAAGCUUCAUCUUCCAAUGGCGGGCCACGCCUUCGGGUAGCAUUUAUGCCGGUGGAUUACAAAGGAAAUGAGCUCUCAAACCAUGUCAUUCGGAGUUUCGUCACGCCUCGGGUGCGGCUUCUCCC
rfam:Bacteroides coprophilus CAG:333 genomic scaffold, scf97